rnacentral:rRNA from 1 species
AACGAACGCUGGCGGCAGGCUUAACACAUGCAAGUCGAACGGGUGUCGCAAGACAUCAGUGGCAGACGGGUGAGUAACACGUGGGAACCUUCCUAGGGGUACGGAACAACUCAGGGAAACUUGAGCUAAUACCGUAUACGUCCGUAAGGAGAAAGAUUCAUCGCCCCUAGACGGGCCCGCGUCGGAUUAGCUAGUUGGUGGGGUAACGGCCUACCAAGGCGACGAUCCGUAGCUGAUCUGAGAGGAUGAUCAGCCACACUGGGACUGAGACACGGCCCAGACUCCUACGGGAGGCAGCAGUGGGGAAUCUUGGACAAUGGGCGCAAGCCUGAUCCAGCCAUGCCGCGUGAGUGAAGAAGGCC